AUUGAACGCUGGCGGAAUGCUUUACACAUGCAAGUCGAGCGGCAGCGCGGGGGCAACCCUGGCGGCGAGCGGCGAACGGGUGAGUAAUACAUCGGAACGUGUCCUUAAGUGGGGGAUAGCUCGGCGAAAGCCGGAUUAAUACCGCAUAAGCUCUGAGGAGGAAAGCGGGGGCUCCGUAAGGACCUCGCGCUGUUGGAGCGGCCGAUGUCGGAUUAGCUAGUUGGUGGGGUAAAGGCCCACCAAGGCGACGAUCCGUAGCUGGUCUGAGAGGAUGAUCAGCCACACUGGAACUGAGACACGGUCCAGACUCCUACGGGAGGCAGCAGUGGGGAAUUUUGGACAAUGGGGGCAACCCUGAUCCAGCCAUUCCGCGUGAGUGAAGAAGGCCUUC
rnacentral:rRNA from 1 species